rnacentral:lncRNA from 1 species
AUGAAGUAAACGCUAUCAAGUGGGAUCCUCAGGGUAAUCUUUUGGCUUCCUGUUCUCACGAUAUUGUGUACAGUGUCGCAUUUUCUCCCGAUGGCAAUACCUAGCAUCUGGUAGCUUUGACUAAUGUGUACACAGCUGGUCUACUCAGUCGGGGCAAUUGUUACACAGCUACAAAGGAACUAGAGGCAUUUUUGAAGUUUGCUGGAAUUCUCGGGGCGAUAAAGUUGGAGCAAGUGCUUUUGACGGAAGUGUAUUUGCUGGGAUAACUGAACAGAAGUUUUAAAGAAAGACGGAAACAAUUGACAAGGCAAAAGAUUGGGAACCUGAAUGCUAUUCAGGUAACCAGUGCCAAUACAUUUUAUGUGGUACAUGUAACAAGACACUUGUGUUCAUGGUUCGCAAGCACACAACAAGGAAAUCUACACCAUAAAAUGGAGUCUUACCGGCCUUGGAACAAAAAACCCAAACAUGAAUCUGAUUUUGGCUAGCGCUUCGUUUGACUCGACCGUUUUGUGGGACGUUGAGCGUGGGUUGUGUAUUCAUACCUUAACCAAGCACUCCGAACCAGUGUACAGUGUCGAUAAAUAUGUUUUGAUUCGAUUUGUCAAUAAAAAUAAGAUAGAUAUAUUUUAAAAUUCAA